rnacentral:rRNA from 1 species
UGCCUAACAGCUAGCCCACCCAAACAAUUUCAACAAACCCCUGUUAAUAACCCCUAAGUACCCCAGUAUUUAUUUUAAACAAACCAUUUUUCCCCCCUAGUAUAGGCGAUAGAAAAGGGCCUACGGCGCAAUAGAGAAAGUACCGCAAGGGAACGCUGAAAGAGAAGUGAAACAACCCAGUAAAGCCUAAAAAAGCAGAGAUCUAAACUCGUACCUUUUGCAUCAUGAUUUAGCAAGUGUAACCCAAGCAAAGCGUACUUUAGUUUGACGUCCCGAAACUAGGUGAGCUACUCCAAGACAGCCUAUCAAUAGGGCGUACCCGUCUCUGUGGCAAAAGAGUGGGGAGAGCUUUGAGUAGAGGUGACAAACCUACCGAACCUAGUUAUAGCUGGUUGUCCAAGAAAUGAAUAGAAGUUCAGCCUUUCAGCUUCUCUUUUCACCUUAGCCUGACCCCUAUUGAUGUAUUAAAGAAACCGAAAGAGUUAGUCAAAGGGGGUACAGCUCCUUUGAAUCAAGACACAACUUUCCCAGGAGGGUAAAGAUCAUAAUAAUUAAAGCUAAAUGUUCUGGUGGGCCUAAAAGCAGCCAUCCCCUUAGAAAGCGUUAAAGCUCAGACAUGUAACCAUACUUCUUAUCCUGAUCACCCAAUCUUAUCCCCCUAACCGUACUGGACCAUCCCAUGCCAACAUGGGAGUGACUAUGCUGAAAUGAGUAAUAAGAGAGCUAUCGGCUCUCUCCCUGCACACAUGUACAUCGGAACGGACAACCCACCGAACCUUAACGGCCCCAAAUAAAGAGGGCAGUGGAUGUUAGACCAAAAAACUAGAAAACUAUCCAAAAACCAACCGUUAAACCCACACAGGUGUGCCCCCAGGGAAAGACUAAA